rnacentral:lncRNA from 1 species
ACUCAUUGGUCUCCUUUCCGUUCAGCCUCACACCAACCAUGCUGCUUCAAGAGUCCUGACAGCUCCAAUAACAGGUAGGAGGAACUGAAAGGCUCUGCCUUCAGACUCUACCUUUGCCCAACGACUUCUGUGCCAUCUGCCAAGGCCAGAGGGUAAAGUGCUAGGGUUGGGUAUGAAGAAAAGGUGAACACAGUCAAACGUUGUUUUAUGCACCUAAAUCUCCACCCUAGUCUUAAGGAAAGGAUAUGGAUUUUGAGAGAAAAGGCUGUGCAUAGACAAGUCCGAGGCGGAGCUGAGGAACUCGGAGGAGAGGUGGGCAAUUAUCUCAGGCAGGGUCAAGCAAUGUGAAGCCAUGUGGAGAAGGAAAUGCACCUAGGUCUAGGGUUGUGUGUGAAUUGUGGAACUCUGGCCUUGCCUCUCUGGGUUCUCCUGAAUGUGGAAUCAUUGACUUGGGCAGGCGCGUCCAAAGUGAUGAUUUGGAGAUUGGAGGGCCGGCCAAUUGCUGACCAGUCGCUGGGUGGUUCCAAUCAGCACCCUGACCCCUACCUUGGCUUUCCUGGGAAGGGAUGAUGGGAGAGGCUUUGACUAAUUAGAAAAGAAAGAUAGAAGUAGAGCUGCCCCAGGCAUGGGAAGACAGAAGCGUAGGAGUGGAGAAAGUGGCACAAACCAGAGCCCUGGAGAUACUCUGAAGGCCCGGAGCAGAUUGUGUUGGAAAGCUGGCAACAGCGGUGGGCUUGGGCGCGGCAGGAGGGCAGGCUGGGUCGGGGGCGGGCAGUGUGUCGUCAGGAGCUGGGCGGCCCCGCAGCGGCCGCGUCUUCCUAACCCGUCCCCUCCUGUCCAGCUCGGGCUCCGGCGCCCCUGCUCUGACCGUGCGCUCUCUUGGGUCAAGGUAGAGCCCCCGCGAGCCCCGUGCCACUCGCACACUCUCGCACCCGGCCAAAAGGGCAGCGGAAGGGGCCGCCCCACCGACUGGGUGAGGGCUGCGGCGUCCAGAGAAGGAAGCGUUGACAGCUGGAAGCUGCUGCUGGAAGGGUUUGCGCUGGGACUCCGGGACUGCCGUAGCGCUGCGCAAGACGCAAGACCGGGGUAAGCUGCGUUUCCCCCAGACCUUUCCUCCACCCUUAUCCCUCUUGCUCACUCGGAGAGCUGGGAAGCUCAGCUCCUGGGAACUCGGAAGAAAGGUGCCUUUUGAAAACCCAAGGUGCCACACGGGUGAAGAAGGGUUCUUCUUUGGCCUCCGAUCCUUUCCACACCUGUCACGGGGAGUUUUCUGGAAAAACUGGGUGGGAAGCCACUUUUCAGAUUUAAAUAAGAAAUGAACCUGACUACCGAGGCAGAAAAGUAAAUAUUAUUGGUCAUCUCUACAGCCUCAAAAAAUACAAGCCCACAUCCCCCAACUAUGCCAACAUCGUAACUUCCUCCUGUACUAGUAGCUACGACACCCUCCGUACAGGAACAUAGUGUGCCACCCCCUUAUCCAGGCAACACAAUUAUCCCUGAUGUUUAUGGCGAUUUAAUGAAUUCUGAUGCUUCAAG